rnacentral:scRNA from 1 species
CUGCUCACCAGGGCCUGAUCCUCUCCAUGUGGUGUUGACCUGCUCUCCUUGAGCAAGAGAAUCAGGACUGGCUUGGGGUGUCCUGCCUGAGCAGACGUGGGUGCAGUGACGUGUGGGGCA